GACGAACGCUGGCGGCGUGCUUAACACAUGCAAGUCGAACGGAAAGGCCCUGCUUUUGUGGGGUGCUCGAGUGGCGAACGGGUGAGUAACACGUGAGUAACCUGCCCUUGACUUUGGGAUAACUUCAGGAAACUGGGGCUAAUACCGGAUAGGAGCUCCUGCUGCAUGGUGGGGGUUGGAAAGUUUCGGCGGUUGGGGAUGGACUCGCGGCUUAUCAGCUUGUUGGUGGGGUAGUGGCUUACCAAGGCUUUGACGGGUAGCCGGCCUGAGAGGGUGACCGGCCACAUUGGGACUAAGAUACGGCCCAGACUCCUACGGGAGGCAGCAGUGGGGAAUAUUGCACAAUGGGCGGAAGCCUGAUGCAGCAACGCCGCGUGCGGGAUGACGGCCUUUGGGUUGUAAACCGCUUUCGCCUGUGACGAAGCGUGAGUGACGGUAAUGGGUAAAGAAGCACCGGCUAACUACGUG
rnacentral:rRNA from 1 species